ACGCACGCUGGCGGCGUGCUUAACACAUGCCAGUCGCACGGAAAGGCCCUGCUUUUGUGGGGUGCUCGAGUGGCGAACGGGUGAGUAACACGUGAGUAACCUGCCCUUGACUUUGGGAUAACUUCAGGAAACUGGGGCUAAUACCGGAUAGGAGCUCCUGCUGCAUGGUGGGGGUUGGAAAGUUUCGGCGGUUGGGGAUGGACUCGCGGCUUAUCAGCUUGUUGGUGGGGUAGUGGCUUACCAAGGCUUUGACGGGUAGCCGGCCUGAGAGGGUGACCGGCCACAUUGGGACUGAGAUACGGCCCAGACUCCUACGGGAGGCAGCAGUGGGGAAUAUUGCACAAUGGGCGGAAGUCUGAUGCAGCAACGCCGCGUGCGGGAUGACGGCCUUCGGGUUGUAAACCGCUUUCGCCUGUGACGAAGCGUGAGUGACGGUAAUGGGUAAAGAAGCACCGGCUAACUACGUG
rnacentral:rRNA from 1 species